rnacentral:rRNA from 1 species
GAUGAACGCUGGCGGCGUGCCUAAUACAUGCAAGUCGAGCGAAUGGAUUAAGAGCUUGCUCUUAUGAAGUUAGCGGCGGACGGGUGAGUAACACGUGGGUAACCUGCCCAUAAGACUGGGAUAACUCCGGGAAACCGGGGCUAAUACCGGAUAACAUUUUGAACCGCAUGGUUCGAAAUUGAAAGGCGGCUUCGGCUGUCACUUAUGGAUGGACCCGCGUCGCAUUAGCUAGUUGGUGAGGUAACGGCUCACCAAGGCAACGAUGCGUAGCCGACCUAAGAGUGUGAUCGGCCACACUGGGACUGAGACACGGCCCAGACUCCUACGGGAGGCAGCAGUAGGGAAUCUUCCGCAAUGGACGAAAGUCUGACGGAGCAACGCCGCGUGAGUGAUGAAGGCUUUCGGGUCGUAAAACUCUGUUGUUAGGGAAGAACAAGUGCUAGUUGAAUAAGCUGGCACCUUGACGGUACCUAACCAGAAAGCCACGGCUAACUACGUGCCAGCCGCCGCGGUAA